rnacentral:rRNA from 1 species
GACGAACGCUGGCGGCGUGCUUAACACAUGCAAGUCGAACGGAAAGGCCCUGCUUUUGUGGGGUGCUCGAGUGGCGAACGGGUGAGUAACACGUGAGUAACCUGCCCUUGACUUUGGGAUAACUUCAGGAAACUGGGGCUAAUACCGGAUAGGAGCUCCUGCUGCAUGGUGGGGGUUGGAAAGUUUCGGCGGUUGGGGAUGGACUCGCGGCUUAUCAGCUUGUUGGUGGGGUAGUGGCUUACCAAGGCUUUGACGGGUAGCCGGCCUGAGAGGGUGACCGGCCCAAAUGGGGCUGGGGUACCGGCCCAACUCCCUCCGGGGGGCAGCGGGGGGGAAUUUUGAAAAAGGGGGGGAAGCCUGAGGCGGAACCGCCGGGGGGGGGAGGACGGCCUUGGGGUUGUAAACCGUUUUCCCCUGUGCCGAGGCGGGGGUGCCGGUAAUGGGUAAAGAAGCACCGGCUAACUACGU